rnacentral:rRNA from 1 species
GUUGUCUCUGAGACUAAGCCAUGCAUGUCUAAGUAUAAAUUAAUUUUUACGGUGAAACUGCGGACGGCUCAUUAAAUCAGUUAUAACCUACUUGAUCGUGUGACUUUAUUCGGAUAACCCUAGUAAUUCUAGAGCUAAUACGUGCUAAAAGCCUUAACUUCCAGCAAUGGGGGAAGAGGUGUAUUUAUUAGAAACUAAAACCAAUCAGCUUCGGCUGUUUGAGAUGAUUCAUAAUAACUCGGCAAAUUACGGGAAAAUUCCUGUGAUGAUUCAAACGGAUUUCUGACCUAUCAACUUUAGAUGGCAAAGUAGGGGUUUGCCAUGGUGACAACGGGUGACGGGGAAUUAGGUUUCGAUUCCGGAGAGGGAGCCUGAGAAACGGCUACCACUUCCGAGGAAGGCAGCAGGCGCGCAAAUUACCCAAUGCUAAUUCGGCGAGGUAGUGACAAGAAAUACCAAUGUAGGACCCAACGGGUACUACGUUUGGAAUGAGAACAAUUUAAAAACCUUAACGAGGAACAAUUGGAGGGCAAGUCUGGUGCCAGCAGCCGCGGUAAUUCCAGCUCCAAUAGUGUAUAUUAAAGUUGCUGCGGUUAAAAAGCUCGUAGUUGGAUUACGAAGUGGUGUUUAAAUGUCAUUUUGGUUUGUUCGUCUUUCGGGGCAUUCAGGUCAACUUGGCUUUUACUCACUGUUGUCAUUGUCUUUGCCCAAGGUAUAUGCCUUGUGUGCAUGGCAUUGACCUUCUAUUUUAUGGUAACGUUGUAUCUUUCGGGGUACAUUCAUUCCAUAUAGUUUACUUUGAAAAAAUUAGGGUGUUUAAAGCAGGCGAAAAGGCUUCGGAAUAUAUUAGCAUGGGAUAAUAGAAUACGAUCUAGGUCGUAAUUUGUUGGUUUCUACGGCUUAGGUAAUGAUUGACAGGGAUAGUUGGGGUCGCUCGUAUUGAGUUGUCAGAGGUGAAAUUCUAGGAUUAACUCAAGACGAACUAAUGCGAAAGCAUUCGGCAAGGAUGUUUUCAUUAAUCAAGAACGAAAGUUGGGGGAUCGAAGAUGAUCAGAUACCGUCGUAGUCUCAACUGUAAACUAUGUCGACCGAGGAUCCGGUAGCGUUACAUGGAUGACCUUCCGGGCACUCUGUGAGAAAUCAUAAGUAUUCGGAUUUCGGGGGGAGUAUGGUCGCAAGGCUGAAACUUAAAGGGAUUGACGGAAGGGCACCACCAGGAGUGGAAUCUGCGGCUUAAUUUGACCCAACACGGGAAAACUUACCAGGUCCGGACACAGUGAGAAUUGACAGAUUGAGAGCUCUUUCUUGAUUUUGUGGGUGGUGGUGCAUGGCCGUUUUUAGUUGGUGGAGUGAUUUGUCUGGUUAAUUCCGUUAACGAACGAGACCUUAACCUAUUAAAUAGCUGCGCGAACCCAGGUUCUUUAACCAUUCUCUCCUUCGGGGGGGCGUGGU